rnacentral:rRNA from 1 species
AGGUCAAGUAGUAAGGGCAUACGGUGGAUGCCUUGGCAUCAAGGGCCGACGAAGGACGUGGCAAGACUGCGAUAAGCCCCGGUGUGCUGUCUAGCAAGCUUAGCCGGGGAUUUCCGAAUGAGGCAACUCGUUCUCCUUUAUCGGAGUUCACUCCUGGCUGAACACAUAGGCCAGGAAGAGGCAAGUGGGGGAAGUGAAACAUCUCAGUACCCCGAGGAAAAUAGAUUAUUCCCAAAGUAGUGGCGAACGAAAUGGGAAAAGCCCAAACCCGUUAAGCUCAGUGGCCCUGAGGCCUAUGCUUAGCGGGGGUCGUAAGGCCGACCCGACCAAACCCAGGCGAGGUCAGGGAGUUACAAACCGGACCCUAGUUGAAGGUUCCUGGAAAGGACCACCACAGCGGGUGAUAGUCCCGUAAGCGAAAGGGAAAGGCUCCCGGUCGGUUCUUAAGUACCACGGGACACGAGGAAUCCUGUGGGAAUCCGGGUGGACCACCAUCCAAGGCUAAAUACCCUUGAUGACCGAUAGUGAACCAGUACCGUGAGGGAAAGGUGAAAAACACCCCGGGAGGGGAGUGAAAUAGAUCUGAAACCGUGUGCCUACAAGCAGUCGGAGUCUUUUCAGCAAUGGAAGGAUGACGGCGUGCCUAUUGAAGAAUGAGCCGGCGAGUUAAUCUGUGUCGCUGGUUAAGCAACUUUAGUUGCGGAGCCACAGCGAAAGCGAGUCUGAAUAGGGCGGUUAUAGUGGCACGGAUUAGACCCGAAGCCUGGUGAGCUAUCCAUGGCCAGAGUGAAACUUCGAUAAACUCGAAGCGGAGGCUCGAACCAGUCACUGUUGCAAAAGUGUUGGAUGAGCUGUGGAUAGAGGUGAUAUGCCAAACGAACCAGGGUAUAGCUGGUUCUCCCCGAAAUGCAUUUAGGUGCAGCCUCAGGCGUUAGUUAAUGGAGGUAGGGCUCUGGAUGGACUAGGGGGCGAGAAGCUUACCAAAUCCAACCAAACUUCGAAUGCCAUUAACCGAGAGCCUGGGAGUGAGACUGCGGGGGCUAAGCUUCGUAGUCGAGAGGGAAACAGCCCAGACCAUCAGCUAAGGUCCCGAAAUACGGGCUAAGUGGUAAAGGAAGUAGGAUUGCACAGACAGCCAGGAGGUUGGCUUAGAAGCAGCCACCCUUUAAAGAAUGCGUAACAGCUCACUGGUUGAGUGGUGCUGCGCCGACAACCCAACGGGGCUCAAGCCCGUUACCGAAGCUAUGGUUCUUUCCCGAACAGGGAAGGGAGGUAGGGGAGCAUUCCUCCAGCGGUGAAGCUCUUCCGUGAGGGAGGGUGGAGCCGGGGGAAGAGAGGAUGCCGGCAUAAGUAGCGUAAGGCGUGUAAGAAACACGCCCACCGAAUGCCUGAGGUUUCCUACGCAAGGUUAAUCCGCGUAGGGUCAGUCGGGCCUAAGCCGAGGCCGGAAGGCGUAGGCGAUGGACAACGGGUCAACAUUCCCGUACCGCUUUUGUGAAGGCAAAGGGGGGACGCGGCAGGGCAAGUCAGGCGUACCCACUGGACAUGGUGCGUUCCUCACCCGAGGCAAUGCUGGGGCAGGUAAAUCCACCCCGGAUGUUAAGCUGAGAGUGGGGGGGAGUUGAGGGGCAACCCAAGGCGACCUGACCGUGCUCCCACCGCCAAGAAAAUCCUCGUUGCCGCUAAAGCAGAAGCGACCGUACCGCAAACCGACUCUGGUAGGCAGGGAUAAAUGUCCCAAGGUGAUCGAGACAACCCUCGUUAAGGAACUCGGCAAUCUAACCCCGUAACUUCGGGAUAAGGGGGACCCUUCGCGAGAAGGGUGGCACAGAAUUGGCCCAAGUGACUGUUUAACAAAAACACAGGUCUCUGCUAAAGCGUAAGCUGAUGUAUAGAGGCUGAUACCUGCCCAGUGCUGGAAGGUUAAGGGGAGGUGUUUCAAAAGCACCGAACUGAAGCCCCAGUGAACGGCGGCCGUAACUAUAACGGUCCUAAGGUAGCGAAACCCCUUGUCGGGUAAGUUCCGACCCGCACGAAUGGUGUAACAACUUGGGCGCUGUCUCAACGAGGGACUCGGCGAAAUUGAAAUACCCGUGAAGAUGCGGGUUACCCGCGACUGGACAAAAAGACCCCGUGGAGCUUUACUACAACUUGGCACUGGGUCUGAAUUCAUCAUGUGUAGGAUAGGUGGGAGGCGGAGAAGCCGGGGCGCUAGCCUCGGCGGAGCCAGCGUUGAAAUACCACUCUUGGUGAAUUUAGCCUCUAACCCUGGUGCAAGCCAGGGGACCGUGCCUGGCGGGUAGUUUGACUGGGGCGGUCGCCUCCCAAAAGGUAACGGAGGCGUCCAAAGGUCCCCUCAAGGUGGAUGGAAAUCACCUGUAGAGUGCAUUGGCAUAAGGGGGCUUGACUGCGAGACCAACAAGUCGAGCAGGCAGGAAACUGGGGCAAAGUGAUCCUACGGUCCCGUGUGGAAGGGCCGUGGCUUAUCGGACAAAAGCUACCCCGGGGAUAACAGGCUUAUCUUGCCCAAGAGUUCACAUCGACGGCAAGGUUUGGCACCUCGAUGUCGGCUCGUCGCAUCCUGGGGCUGAAGCAGGUCCCAAGGGUCGGGCUGUUCGCCCGUUAAAGCGGCACGCGAGCUGGGUUCAGACCGUCGUGAGACAGGUCGGUCUCUAUCCGUCGUGGGCGCCGGAGAUUUGAGGAGGGCUCUCUCUAGUACGAGAGGACCGAGAGGGACAGACUUCUGGUGUGCCAGUUGUCCCGCCAGGGGCAUCGCUGGGUAGCCAUGUCUGGUUUGGAUAAGCGCUGAAAGCAUCUAAGUGCGAAGCCAUCUCCAAGAUGAGAUCUCCCAUCCUUCCCCGCAAGGGGGAGGAGUAAGACCGCAAGUAGACUACUUGCUUGAUAGGCGGCAGGUGCAAGAACGGUAACGUUUUCAGCUUAGCCGUACUAAUGGUCGAGGGCUUGACCUG